UACAGAGGGGGCAAGCGUUGUUCGGAAUCACUGGGCGUAAAGGGAGCGUAGGCGGGUUUCUAAGUCAGGUGUUUAAUCCCGGGGCCCAACCCCGGACAGGCACUUGAAACUGGGAAUCUUGAAUAGGGGAGAGGUCAGUGGAAUUGGAGGUGUAGCGGUGGAAUGCGUAGAGAUCUCCAAGAACACCAGUUGCGAAGGCGGCUGACUGGACCCAUAUUGACGCUGAGGCUCGAAAGCAUGGGGAGCAAACAGG
rnacentral:rRNA from 1 species